rnacentral:rRNA from 1 species
GACGAACCGAGCGAACGUUGUUCGGAAUCACUGGGCUUAAAGGGUGCGUAGGCGGUUCCAUAAGUCAGUGGUGAAAUACAAUAGCUUAACUAUUGAGGUGCCAUUGAUACUGCGGAACUUGAGUACAGACGAGGUAGGCGGAAUUGACGGUGUAGCGGUGAAAUGCUUAGAUAUCGUCAAGAACACCGAUAGCGAAGGCAGCUUACUAGACUGUAACUGACGCUGAAGGCACGAAAGUGUGGGGAUCAAACAGG